CCCCCGGCAAGGAUUCGAUCCCACUCCUCAAGCGGGUGUCGCAGGUUCGAAUCCUGCCGGGGGU
rnacentral:tRNA from 1 species